GACAGAGGGUGCAAACGUUGUUCGGAUUUACUGGGCGUAAAGCGCGUGUAGGCGGCUUGGCAAGUUGGAUGUGAAAGCCCACGGCUCAACCGUGGAAGCGCAUCCAAAACUGCUUCGCUCGAGUCUCGGAGAGGAAGGUGGAAUGCUUGGUGUAGAGGUGAAAUUCGUAGAUAUCAAGCAGAACACCUGCGGCGAAGGCGGCCUUCUGGACGAUGACUGACGCUGAGACGCGAAAGCGUGGGGAGCAAACAGG
rnacentral:rRNA from 3 species